rnacentral:sRNA from 1 species
CCCCGGGAUGCUCCCGGGGCUAUUACAAGUUGUGCCUUCAGCACU